GAGUGGGAAAAAAAUUGCGUACGAUAGACGUACGCAGCGCUGCAUGUAUUAUUAGGGUUAUACCGAUGGUACAUGGGGGUUACAUCCACGGUAUAACCCAUUGUAACCUCCCUGUAACUUGUUGUAACCUAUCUGUACCCUAAAAUAAGUUUCGCGCUUCUGUUAUCAUAUAUUAAGAGGUUAUACGUAAGUUACAGAGAGGUUACAAGGGUUUAUACCGUGAAUGUAAUUUCUUUAUACCCUCGGUAUACCCCAAUAUCGCACACAGCACUGCGUACGUCUAUCGUACGCAAAAUUUUCUAGUGUGUGUGUAGACAUUAAACUUUUGGCAGCAAAGAAGUGUUGCUGUAAAAUAUAAAGCAAGCCAUGCUAGGUGCAAAAAUUUCCCAUUUUCGUUCUUUAUCUUUUCAACUGGUUCAUCAAGUAAAAUGUUCUUGCUUUUUGUGCCUCUCCAUGACCGACGAUGAGCUCCCUCAAACAUGUUCAUGGCCGCUUCCUCCAUUCCCAAAAUCUGUAGAAGAGCAGUUUUGAGUGGAUUAACGAUUAACAUCACAAAUGUCGGUAGAAGACAAGAAACAUCACAAACUGCAAACUUUACCCCCAUUUUUCUCCGAGCAAAAGCGAUCGCAGCUGAUGAGCCCAAUUUCUGUCAUUGGCCCGCAAUUUCGAGGCCGUUAUUCGCUAAUCUGGCGGCGAAGAUAGAGGUCGGGAGCUGGCGCUUGCUGUUUUGUGCGAAACCAUUUUCUACAUUGCUGAAUGUUUUGAAGCAGCUUGGCCUGAUGUUGAGGAGCAUGUGCACUCCACCAUUUCUUCCUUGAAGAAAACCUAACUGAUUUGUGCUCCGAAUCGCAGCAAAAGUUUGAGAUGCAACAACUAUGGAUGCCAACAACGCCAGCAAAAAUCACCCCAGCAAGUAGCCGGAGGAGCCAACCUCCUGGGCAAAGCUGGCUUGAACCGGCUCUGUUGGUGACCAAUGCAGCUCAAGACACCACACCUCCAUGGGAGCUUCCAAUCCAGAUUGGAAGCUCUACCUCAUCAGACCAUCCAAACUAUCUGCCACCAUGUCUUCCCUUGUUGGUGCGAUUUGGCAAUCACCGAGAGAUUCAUGUUAGCCAAAACAUGUCACGGCUUGAGGGAAAGGUCUUUCUUGAUGCAAGUCUUUCUAAUACCAGCUGCUGCUGUUGCGGCAACCAAAAAGCUGAGUAUGGAUUGCCAGUUACCUUAUUUCCUAUUUGUGAUUCAUUACCAGAAAGUACUUUGAAUGUUUCUAAGAUGGUGAAAAUGUCUGCUCCCCCAACCCCUGCAACCACAGAAAAGUUUUACAAGACGUUGCCGGAUAAGCAGCUAUCUUUAGAACUUACUGACAUAGAUGAAGCGGGGGCGAGAGUAGAAAAUUUGAUGACAAAGGACAUAAUUGUGCCCUCUAAAGAGGCAUCUGAGAGGCUCAUAGGAGUUCAAAAGGUCAUUGAGAGAAAGAAUAAUGGAAUUGACUUGAACUUAGUAAGUCCGAAGAAGAGACCACAAAUGAAAAAACACAGACCAAAAGUAUUUGAGGAAGGAAAGCCUUCAAGAUCACCUAAGCCAGUAACCCCUCAGCUAGAGACAGAUGAACAAAUGGGACGUAAAGAAGGUACCUCGUGCAAAAGGAAAUAUGCCAGGAGAAAGAAGGCUGUGAACCAUUUUCCAGACACUGCUUCAAAUGCAGAAAGCACGGGAGAGACCAAACCUGUGAGAAGGUGCCUGAACUUUGAUCUGGAGGAACAGUUGGCAGUCAGUGAAUUCUCAGAUGCAAUGUCAAUGUUUAAAAAGGUGCUUGGAGCUCGUGUUCUUGAGGAAUGCGAUGAAAGUGCUGUGACAAGUUUAAGCGUGAAAGAAACAGCAGAUUUUGACAGAGACUUGUCAGUGAAGCUAUCGCCAGAGACCAUCUCUGAUCACAGUGGUUCAACAUAUCAACCAAACUAUGAAUGCUCAAAGCUGUCACAAGUUCCAGCACUACCUGCAAAAAUUAACAAAAGUAUGCGUUCAUCCAUUAAAAAAAUGCCAUUUUUAAAUUCAUCAGUAAAACAUUUCAAGGCACUAGCAAGGGAAACUGCUUGUUUGGACUCUGCUUCUUUCAGUUCUCAAAGCUCCUCAGAAGUUACUCAGAGGAAUCUCAAUUUCAAUAAAAUCUCUGAAACACUACCUAAAGGCACCAAAAGGGUUCAACUUUCCUUUGAUGAAGCUGCAGCGUCCAAUCAAAAAGCAAUCGUUCAUUCAUACGUCCUUCGAGGCUGUUCUAGCAAUGCUGGGACGAAAGAAUCAAGCCCAACAAGCAUUCACAAAAGAAUAAGAAUAGAGAGGUGGGGCCCUGAGGAAGUCAAUUUUAAUGCUUCAAAGUGUUGGGACAUAAAGCAGCUUUCAAAUGGCUCAGAGAAUUUCACUGUUGCAGAAGCACCAAGGUUUAUGGUCCAGGAGAAGAUGAAAGAUUUAGAGCGUAUAUUAGCAUUUAACCAAACGGAAGGAUAUGUGCGAAACAAUCUUGUUUCUGGUGCUGGAGAAGCCUCCUUAAGUAGCUCAAGGAGCAAGUCAAAUCCUGCUAAGCCAUCCAAGCAGAAGAAUGAGGGCAUCAUUCAACAGUCUACUACUAAAAAGCUAUCUAAAUUUAAGGACACUCUUGAAAACAAGAUAUUUGGAAAACAACCUAAUCUAGAGAUAUCUGAAGAAAUAUUGAAUUCUUUGAAUACACGCAUAAAGACAAGGCACACAUUUGUGGAAGAGUGGCCAUCAGAAUGUUCAAAUGGUAUUUCUUCUGCACAAAAGAUUGUUGAAGGAGGUGCUUUGUCCGCCAGAAGCUUGGAUGGAAAGAAUUUAAAUGUAGAAACCUUUUCGGUAGACAGCCAAAGUACAUGUUAUUAUAAUGUCUCAGCUCCUUUCAGCCUCUCGUUGGGAACAUUAGUUCCCUUCAAGAAUACAGUGGAUGAUAUUGUAAGAAAACUAAGACGUCUUAGCAUAAAAAGUGAUGAAGUUUCCAGUUCUCAAUUACAAAAUUCAAUAGUUCCAUAUGUUGAUCAUGGGGGUAUAAUGACUACCUAUGAGAGAAAUUUUCAUUUGAUCAAGCGACAGCGUCCUCGGGCUAAGGUCGAUUUGGAUGCAGAAUCAAAUAGGGUUUGGAAGCUUCUGAUGGGAAAAGAUUGCAGUGAGGGGGUUGAACGUUCAGAUGUGGAUAAAGAGAAGUGGUGGGAUGAAGAAAGGAGAAUUUUUCGAGGACGUGUGGAUUCAUUUAUUGCUCGAAUGCAUCUUGUUCAAGGGGACAGACGCUUUACCCAAUGGAAGGGCUCAGUUGUAGAUUCAGUGGUUGGUGUCUUUCUUACUCAGAAUGUGUCGGAUCAUCUGUCUAGCUCUGCAUUCAUGACCCUUGCUGCAAAUUUUCCUCUAUCAAGGCGCAAAUAUGGUGUACCAAAUGGAGAAAUGGUGAACACAUCCACAGAAAUUCAAAACAGAUGCAUCAUACCAUUUAUUGACAAUCCGAAAUUACAAAGUAACUUACUGGAUCAUGGCUCAUUCCACUGUUCUUUGGAGCUUAAUGUAUCUGAAAAUGGGGAUCAAAAGGACAAUAGCAAUUUUAGUGAAACACAUGGGAGUAUUAGCACAAGCAGCAUUACCUAUUACUCUAGACAAAAAGGUAAAGGAAAAAGUUUAAAUUUACAGGAAAAAGAGGCAACAUUAUAUCAAGAAUCAACUGUUAGUGUAUCUGGUACCACUAACCAAGCAGAAAUGGAGGAUGUAAAAUUGCAUGAAGAUGCCAUCACAUCCCAAAAUUCUGCAUGUUCAUCUCAAAACUCCCCAGGGUUUCAUGUUCCGUCAAACAAACAUAUUGGAUCAAACUCAAUUAUAAAUAUUGAAGCAGAUGAUUAUUUUAGUGUAAACACGGGCAAUGAUACUUUAGGAAGUUCUUCAUUUACAAAGCUUAUUCAGAUCGCAGAAAGCUGCAGUUUCAAUGAAUUCUAUGGCUGUGGUAGAGGAAUGAUUUCAGCAACUAAAAAUCAAGAGACAAAUUUUAAUUUUGAAAACAAUCCUACCCUUUGGAGUCAAUUGGAUAACUCAAAAGAUAACUUAUUAGAUAUGUCGCCUCCUACAGAGUCUUGCCACUUUGUUGAUCCCUUUAACUCCAAAAUCAUGGUCAACAAUGCCAAUCUCUCAGCAGAUCUUAGAUCACAUUUACUUUCAACCAGCAGUGAAAUAAUCAGUAGUAAUGCCUUCGAGGUUAUGAGCAUAAACUAUAGUGAAUCAGACGGAAGUGUGGCUGAAUCUACCAGUCUUCAUAAGAUCGUGUCAUCUUCCAACACUGCAACUAACAUUGAUUCAUUUGCGCCAAUAAGAAAACUAACUACACAAAUGGAAGUUGGUGCUAAUAUGACUUCUGCUACUUAUAAAAACAUGGCAAAAGCUAUCAUAGAUGUCACAAAAAAUGAAAAUCCAAAUGCAUGCUCAAGUUUACAAACUGAAGACGUUACAAUAUUCCACCAGAAAGAUGGAAACUCAAUGUUCCAAGGACAAAGAACUCACAAUACAGUUCAAGCUCUGGAUCAAUUAGAGACAUGCAGAACUCAACAAACAACAAUCUCAAAUAACGAAAUAAAGCAUAGUUUGGAUGUGGUUGACAAAGCUGGGCCAAAUCCAAAAUCCGAAACUUGCAGUUUUCAAGUAGUUUCACCAGAAAAAAGUGACCCUGCAUCAAAAGCUAGGAAAAGGAGAUCGGAAGUUGAAGAUAAUAGCUUCGAUUGGGAGAGCUUGAGGAAAGAGGUAUGCUGUACUAAACCAGCCAAAGAGAGAAGUAGCACCACCAUGGAUUCGGUUGAUUGGGAAGCAGUAAGGAUUGCAGAUGUAAGCAGGAUUUCUGAGUCCAUCCGGGAACGUGGAAUGAAUAAUGUAUUGGCAGAGAGAAUCAAGGAAUUUCUAAAUCGACUUGUUAGAGAGCAUGGUAGCAUAGACCUUGAGUGGUUAAGAGAUUUUCCACCAGAUAAAGUCAAGGACUACCUCCUAAGCAUAAGAGGAUUGGGGCUGAAGAGUGUAGAAUGUGUUCGUCUUUUGACACUACAAAAUUUAGCUUUUCCGGUUGACACCAAUGUUGGUCGCAUAUGUGUGAGACUGGGAUGGGUUCCACUCCAACCAUUGCCUGAAUCCCUUCAACUGCACCUUUUGGAGCUGUAUCCUGUGUUGGAGACCAUUCAGAAGUACCUUUGGCCUCGCCUAUGCAAGCUAGACCAACGAACAUUGUAUGAACUGCACUAUCAGAUGAUAACCUUUGGAAAGGUUUUUUGUACAAAAAGAAAGCCGAAUUGCAACUCAUGCCCAAUGAGAGGAGAAUGCAAACAUUUUGCAAGUGCCUUUGCUAGUGCCAGACUUGCCCUUCCAGCUCCUGAGGAUAAAAGUGUAAUGAGUUUCACAACAAUAAUUGCCUCCGAUGAAAGCCAAUCUAUCUCUAUAAAUCCAACACCCCUUCCUCAGCUUGAAGGAGGUUCAAAUUCAUGCACCUUUCGGAAUAAUUGUGGGCCAAUCAUAGAAGAACCGGCAUCACCAGAGCCGGAAUGCCCAGAAGCUUUGGAAAGUGCAAUAGAGGAUGCAUUUUAUGAGGAUCUUGAUGAAAUUCCUACAAUAAAGCUCAAUCUAGAAGAGUUCACACAAAAUCUUCGAAAAUACAUGGAAGAAAAUAUGGAGCUUCAAGAUGGCAGUUUGUCGAAGGCUUUAGUUGCUUUGACCCCAGAGGCUGCUUCCAUCCCAAUGCCCAAGCUGAAGAAUGUGAGCCGUCUACGGACUGAGCAUCAAGUAUAUGAAAUUCCAGAUAAACAUCCACUGUUGGAAGGGGUGGACCCAAGGGAACCAGACGAUCCAAGCCCAUACCUUCUCGCUAUAUGGACACCAGGUGAGACAGCACAGUCAACUGAACCACCAAAAGCUUGCUGCAACUCACAAGAUCCGAAUCAACUUUGUGAGAGGAGCACAUGUUUUGCUUGCAAGAGUAUACAGGAAGCGGAGUCUCAUAAUGUUCGUGGAACACUUUUGAUACCUUGUCGAACUGCAAUGGGAGGAAGCUUUCCACUUAAUGGUACCUACUUUCAAGUUAAUGAGGUAUUUGCAGAUCACCAUUCAAGCUGCGACCCAAUUUAUGUUCCAAGAGACUGGAUAUGGAAUCUGCCUAGGAGGACUGUUUAUUUUGGAACCUCAAUACCUACAAUAUUUCGAGGUUUAACAACGGAAGGGAUACAGCAAUGCUUUUGGAGAGGUUUUGUUUGUGUGAGAGGAUUUGACCGAGUUACAAGAGCACCAAAGCCUCUGUAUGCCAGACUGCACUUCCCAGCAAGCAAGGCACCUAAGAACAAGAAAGCUGCAGAACCAAAGGUGGAAAAUUAGAGCUGUAGCUUACAUCUAACUAGGCUCUAUCAAUCAUCAAACUAGAAGAUGGACUACUAACUGACAUGCUGCUGUGUAUUCAUGGCAAAACUUCUACCAAGCAAACUCAUCCAUUUUUCUUACAAAUACUGGUCAGGAGAGGUGGAAUCAUCAUUUUUUAAAAGCAAACAUGCUUAAAAGUAGGAGAGGAAGCUUCAAUCAUACAGAAAGUUUGGAGGGCGGAAAGCUGGACUGCUUAUUGGCCUAGUAUGGCCCCAUCACUGUACCUUUUUCUUAACUCAUGUGCACACCCGUAUGGGAUGGGCCUUAAACUCAGGAUCUUGUGAUUAGAGAUAAAGCUCUUGACUACUAGACUAAGUGGCCAGCAUGAAGGAGAGCUCAAUGUUUGAAGUCACCUCCAAUUCUGGUAUUGUCUAUGGCAAUGACAUCGGUGUCAAUGAAGGUCACAUCCUACAAAUUACUUGAUACAAAUUCCGCAGUCCCAGCUUCCAAUAGUCUCAAUCCAUCAAGAUUUUGUAUGCAGGAAAGGAAAGAAAAAUUAUCUAAUAUUCAAAAUCUAGAAAUACCACUUCGCCAGACACUGAUGUCCUUAGAUUCAAAAUCUAGAAACUUGAGAACAUGAUGAUCUCAUGGCUAAUUAACUAAAAAGAGACUAAAGAGAAUUUCAUGUACUGCAAAAUUGCAAGAUAAACAUAAGAUACGACAAAAGGGACCUAGAGACCAAGUACAGUAAAGAAAAUACUUCUAAAAUACGUGAGAUAAAGAUGACACUUCAUGACCUUAGAUAAAGUGAACUUUAUAUGAACAAAUCAGAAAUUGAGAGAAAAGUGUCAAAAUGGUCAUC